UUCUGUUGAAGACGAUGAGAAAUCCAUGUCAAGUCUGGAAAUUAUUGUGCCACAUGAUUUAGCAGAUGGAUUUGUCAAUAAUAAACGAGAAAGCUACAAGUUCAAAUUUCAGAAAAUUUUUGAUCAAGAGGCUAAACAAGAUGUGGUUUUUGACAGCAUUGCCAAACCAGUGGCAGAAUGGCCCAUGUGAAGCAGAAGGGGAACUGACUCCGAAAAUGAAGAUCCAGUGACACUGAAACUUGAC